rnacentral:rRNA from 1 species
GGGCCCGCACAAGCGGCGGAGCAUGUUGCUUAAUUCGAGGCAACGCGAAGAACCUUACCUGGGUUUGACAUUCUGGGAAAAGCCGUAGAGAUACGGUGUCCGAAAGGGUCCAGAACAGGUGGUGCAUGGCUGUCGUCAGCUCGUGUCGUGAGAUGUUGGGUUAAGUCCCGCAACGAGCGCAACCCUUGUCCUAUGUUGCCAGCACGUAAUGGUGGGGACUCGUAGGAGACUGCCGGGGUCAACUCGGAGGAAGGUGGGGACGACGUCAAGUCAUCAUGCCCCUUAUGUCCAGGGCUGCAAACAUGCUACAAUGGCUGGUACAAAGGGCUGCUAUACCGCGAGGUGGAGCGAAUCCCAAAAAGCCAGUCUCAGUUCGGAUUGGAGUCUGCAACUCGACUCCAUGAAGUCGGAGUCGCUAGUAAUCCCGGAUCAGCAACGCCGGGGUGAAUACGUUCCCGGGCCUUGUACACACCGCCCGUCACACCACGAAAGUCGGCAACACCCGAAGCCAGU